GUUGUAGGUGUAGCGGCCAAAGAAGACCUGUCUUAGUCGACCAUUGACUAUGUACAGACUGGGGGACCGACAGAGCUGCAGUAGUUAUUUCCCCCAUUUAUAUUUGUUAUUUUAUCAUAGUUAUUCCUUAAAGUAGGGGGAUUCAACUGGGGGAUGUAGAUUAUCCAUAGGAAUAUGUUUUGGGUAUUUGAGGAUUUUUUUUUUUUACUUAAGCCAUACAUAAUUUUUACCUUCUCUAACAAGUUCAAUAGAAUUUGUAUAUUUAGCUUUAAACCAUGUAAGGAUUCCCCCCUGAAGUCCUUCCCCGUGUCACUCCAGGGAGCUUUCUUGAUUCCCCAUAGCCUGGAGGGCCGCCAGUCGGUAAGUCACACCUGUCCUCUCCCCCUCCCCUUGUAUACCCCCUACAUAUAGCAGAUAAAAGUAAUGGACAGUGAGAAAGAAGGGAAAACCCAUAGUUAAUGUAAUUUUCUUUAUUCCUUUCUUUUAGCUGUUUCAGUUUUACCCAUGUGUCCAAUUUGUCUUUAAAUUUUGUUCCCCAAACAUCACUCCCAUAACGAAGUACGUACGUAGUAUUGGUUUCAGUAGUGAAUCGAAUUUUUUUUUACCAAAGUUUUUUUUUUUUUUAGUAUUUUAGUAAAGAGGUUUCUUAGCAGGUUGUUCUUGCCUUUUCAGUUAAAUCUCUUAUUGCACCAUAAAAAUGUCCUGUAGAAGAAAUCAUUAAUCCUAAAUAACAAUAUCUUUUUACCUGUUCAAGUUUUUGUUUGCCAGUUGUGAUCCUGUAAUUACUAUUAAGUAUGGAGUGUCUUUUCUGGAAUAUCAUGAUUUUGGAUUUAUCCAGGUUAAUUGUAAGUGGCCCUUGUUAGACUGUAUUAGUUAAGAAUAUUCAGACUUUCCUGAAGCGGCUCUGCACUAGGGGAGAGUAGGAGGAGAUUGUCAGCAAAAAGCAGGCAUUUAAUUUCUUCCUUUAGAAGUUUAAGACCUGGGGACAAAGAACUUUCAAUCUUUGUAGCCAAAUCAUUGAUAUACAUGUUGAAUAAAGUUGGACUUAAGCAACAGCCAUGUCGAACUCCUUUUGUCUGGUCAAAAUUAUCUUUUAUUCUGUUGGUACUUUUUACACAGCAUUUAUUGUUUUUUUAUACAUGUCUUUAAUAAUUA
ensembl:lncRNA